AUUGAACGCUGGCGGAAUGCUUUACACAUGCAAGUCGAACGGCAGCACGUGGGCAGCCCUGGUGGCGAGUGGCGAACGGGUGAGUAAUACAUCGGAACGUGCCCGGUCGUGGGGGAUAACGUAGCGAACUUUACUCUAAUACCGCAUACGCUCUGAGGAUGAAAGCGGGGGCCCUUCGGGCCUCGCGCUAUCGGCGCGGCCGAUGUCAGAUUAGGUAGUUGGUGGGGUAAAGGCCUACCAAGCCGACGAUCUGUAGCUGGUCUGAGAGGACGACCAGCCACACUGGGACUGAGACACGGCCCAGACUCCUACGGGAGGCAGCAGUGGGGAAUUUUGGACAAUGGGCGCAAGCCUGAUCCAGCCAUGCCGCGUGCAGGACGAAGGCCUUCGGGUUGUAAACUGCUUUUGUACGGAACGAAAAGGCUCUGGCUAAUACCUGGGGCUCAUGACGGUACCGUAAGAAUAAGCACCGGCUAACUACGUG
rnacentral:rRNA from 1 species